rnacentral:rRNA from 1 species
AUUGAACGCUGGCGGCAUGCCUAACACAUGCAAGUCGAACGGAGGGCUUCGGCCCUCAGUGGCGGACGGGUGAGUAACGCGUAGGGAUCUGCCCCGUAGUGGGGGACAACCUGGGGAAACUCAGGCUAAUACCGCAUACGCUCCACGGAGGAAAGCGGGGGACCUUCGGGCCUCGCGCUGCGGGAUGAACCUACGUCCGAUUAGCUAGUUGGUGGGGUAAAGGCCCACCAAGGCGACGAUCGGUAGCUGGUCUGAGAGGACGGCCAGCCACACUGGGACUGAGACACGGCCCCAGACUCCUACGGGAGGCAGCAGUGGGGAAUAUUGGACAAUGGGCGCAAGCCUGAUCCAGCAAUGCCGCGUGGGUGAAGACGGCCUGCGGGUUGUAAAGCCCUUUAGGCGGGAAGAACGGCCGGCGUAAAUAGCGCGCGGCUCUGACGUUACCCGCAAAAUAAGACACCGGCUAACUCCGUGCCAGCAGCCGCGGUAAU